rnacentral:lncRNA from 1 species
UGGGAUUCAAAUAAUGGGAUAAAAGUCGGGGAACAGCCUUUGAGUGAAGAAAGACAAAAAUCAAGUGAUAUUAAUCAAUCAACAACAUUCUAAGCCUUAGGAUCACAAGUUCGGUUUCAUGCUUCCGAAAACCAAUGUUAAUAACAUAGAGCUAGAAGUUGAGAGUUUAAGCUCGAUAAGAAACAUAAUUCAGAAUUUAACAUAAAAGUCUUAAGUUGGAGAAACAAAAGACAAAUAAGAGCUAGUGCAACAGCGGAAGACAAAAUACGGAGUUGAACUCUAGCCUCAGCUCUGCCCCGU